GGGUUGUGAGGUUAAGCGACUAAGCGUACACGGUGGAUGCCCUGGCAGUCAGAGGCGAUGAAGGGCGUGCUAAUCUGCGAUAAGCGCCGGUAAGGUGAUAUGAACCGUUAUAACCGGCGAUACCCGAAUGGGGAAACCCAGUGUGAUUCGUCACACUAUCAUUAACUGAAUCCAUAGGUUAAUGAGGCGAACCGGGGGAACUGAAACAUCUAAGUACCCCGAGGAAAAGAAAUCAACCGAGAUUCCCCCAGUAGCGGCGAGCGAACGGGGAGGAGCCCAGAGCCUGAAUCAGCAUGUGUGUUAGUGGAAGCGUCUGGAAAGGCGCGCGAUACAGGGUGACAGCCCCGUACACAAAAGCGCAUGUGCUGUGAGCUCGAUGAGUAGGGCGGGACACGUGGUAUCCUGUCUGAAUAUGGGGGGACCAUCCUCCAAGGCUAAAUACUCCUGACUGACCGAUAGUGAACCAGUACCGUGAGGGAAAGGCGAAAAGAACCCCGGCGAGGGGAGUGAAAAAGAACCUGAAACCGUGUACGUACAAGCAGUGGGAGCACAGGUUUACCUGUGUGACUGCGUACCUUUUGUAUAAUGGGUCAGCGACUUAUAUUCUGUAGCAAGGUUAACCGAAUAGGGGAGCCGGAGGGAAACCGAGUCUUAAUUGGGCGUUAAGUUGCAGGGUAUAGACCCGAAACC
rnacentral:rRNA from 2 species